GUCUAUGUUUAUUACAAACGCUUCAGUUAACGAAUGUCACAUAGCGUCUAACGCAUUAUAUACAACUUUCAGCAACGGAUCUCUUGGCUCUCGCAUCGAUGAAGAACGCAGCGAAAUGCGAUAAGUAAUGUGAAUUGCAGAAUUCAGUGAAUCAUCGAAUCUUUGAACGCACCUUGCGCUCCUUGGUAUUCCGAGGAGCAUGCCUGUUUGAGUGUCAUGGAAUUAUCAACUUCUAUAACUUUUGUUGUGGAAGCUUGGACUUGGAGGUUGUGUUGGCUUGCAAAAGUCAACUCCUCUGAAAUGUAUUAGCGUGAAUCUUACGGAUCGCCUUCAGUGUGAUAAUUAUCUACGCUGUGGUGUUGAAGUAUUUAAUGUCACGCUUCUAAUCGUUCGCAAGGACAAUUACUUGUCAAUCUGACCUCAAAUCAGGUAGGACUACCCGCUGAACUUAAGCAUAUCAAUAAGCGGAGGA
rnacentral:rRNA from 1 species